GGGAUGGCCCGCGGUGCAUUAGCUAGUUGGUAAGGUAAAGGCUUACCAAGGCGAUGAUGCAUAGCCCGAGUUGAGAGACUGAUCGGGCCACAUUGGGGACUGAGACACGGGGCCCAAACUCCUACGGGGGGAGGGGCAGCAGUAGGGGGAAUCUUCCACAAUGGACGCAAGUCUGAUGGAGCAACGCCGCGUGAGUGAAGAAGGUUUCGGAUCGUAAAGCUCUGUUGUUGGUGAAGAAGGAUAGGAGGUAGUAACUGGUCCUUUAUUUGACGGUAAUCAACCAAGAAAGUCACGGACUAACUACGUGCCAGCAGCCGCGGUAAU
rnacentral:rRNA from 1 species